ACUCGAUGAAAGAUAUUCACCACGGUGACGCAAAGUCGGCCAAUGAUCGUGCAUUAAGGACCAGGACAGCACCUAGACCUCAAAAUCCUCUAGGUUUGUCCAUAUGAUUACUUGGGUUGUCUGUCUUGUUUCUUUUUUGUUGUUUGAGCUCCAAUUGUUGCUUACAUCUGUGGCCAUUCGCAGGAAACGUGAUUGAAAAUGCUUUUUCCACGACUUACUAAAGAGGCAAGAGCAUCUCCGGCUCUUACUCUUUCGAUUGAUUCGUGACCAAAUUCUGACUAUCGCUAAUCCGUUUGUGAGAUUUUCAAGGCAUGGGACAAUUACACUAGGUUGAUUCUGGAGGAAUCCUCCAGAUGAUUUGAGGAUGCUUCUUCCUCGAAGAAGGGACAAGUUGGGACCUUUUGCUCCGGUGAAACACUGAAGUAUCUGUUCUUGGCUCUUGGGGACAACUUUGGUAAUCGUUUCGCAGGAGAAAGUGAGCGGAAAAUUGUUUGCAUUUCUAUUAUUGCAUCUGGAAGCCAAGGUUCAGUGUCAUAGUACUCUUUGAGGUCAAAGCAAGCUUACCGGCGAUCCUCAAUAGCUCUUCUAAGGAAUCAGGUCCAAGGACACAAAUGGAGACGGAGGAGUAAUUCAUGACUGUGACAAGUACGUACUUGGUCUUGCCCAUGAAUCUCUGCAAUGAAAUCCUGCCACCAGAAAUCAUUUGGACAUCAUUCUCAAUCCAGAUAUGCUACAGGUUUAAAAACGGCUUGGAAGCAGCAUAAUUUUGUAGGAAAGAGAACGUACAAAAUUUCUCGUGUGGCUGGUCCGAUGAACGACGAGGUUUGUCAUGUUUCCAAUGAGAUAUGAGUUUUGUGCACCGAAUCCAGAAAUAGCUGUAGCGGAUGUCCUUCUCUAGUCUGAAGGAAAGAAAAUGUUGAGGCUGAGGGAUUGGAAGGGCAGUGUUGAACAGAUAUCAAAAAGAAACCAGGUUGAUAUGUACCUGUAAUUUGGAAAAGGGUGUCAUCUAAAGAGGGUCAGCAACUUUUUAGACAGAAAACACAAAUGACUAUUGAAAUUCCUUGCUUAAGGACCUGGUUGCAAUUUUCUUGGGGUCAUCAACAAGAAGAUACGAUUGACUGUCAAGAUAUGCCACAAAGAAGGUGAGAACAAUAUCGAUGGUAAAGAAGCCAUUGACAAUGUUGUCAAUUAUGAAAAGGGCAUCUUGCUUGUUUUUCAGAAAUGCAAACUCAAAUGGGCAGAUCCAGGCGGAGUAAACCACUAGAACAAUCAAGAACAUCUCCCAAGCCCUGAAAUGAAGAACAUAGAAUGAGGUUUGGCAUAGUUUCUUGUUUCUUGUUUCUUGUUUUAUGUUAUGAUUUCUCUGAGACACAGGAAACUUGUUUGGUUGAUGGUUUUUGAAAUUUGCUUUUGUUUUCAGUUUUCGUGAAACUAACUCAUUUUUUUGAGAAAGCACAAACAAGAUGCUUUUCGAUUCUUGAAA